AUUGAACGCUGGCGGCAUGCCUUACACAUGCAAGUCGAACGGCAGCACGGGUGCUUGCACCUGGUGGCGAGUGGCGAACGGGUGAGUAAUACAUCGGAACAUGUCCUGUAGUGGGGGAUAGCCCGGCGAAAGCCGGAUUAAUACCGCAUACGAUCUACGGGUGAAAGCGGGGGACCUUCGGGCCUCGCGCUAUCGGGUUGGCCGAUGGCUGAUUAGCUAGUUGGUGGGGUAAAGGCCUACCAAGGCGACGAUCAGUAGCUGGUCUGAGAGGACGACCAGCCACACUGGGACUGAGACACGGCCCAGACUCCUACGGGAGGCAGCAGUGGGGAAUUUUGGACAAUGGGCGAAAGCCUGAUCCAGCAAUGCCGCGUGUGUGAAGAAGGCCUUCGGGUUGUAAAGCACUUUUGUCCGGAAAGAAAUCCUUGGCUCUAAUACAGUCGGGGGAUGACGGUACCGGAAGAAUAAGCACCGGCUAACUACGUG
rnacentral:rRNA from 1 species